rnacentral:hammerhead_ribozyme from 1 species
AUCUAACUGACGAGUUCCAAAUAGGACGAAGUGACGCGUUUCAAACUAGAU